rnacentral:rRNA from 1 species
GAACGAGAAAGUGGAGCAAUCCAUGAGUAAAGUGGCGACCGGGUGAGUAACACGUGACUAACCUACCUUUUAGUGGGGGAUAACCUCGGGAAACCGAGGCUAAUACCGCAUAACAUCGAAAGAUCAAAGCAGCAAUGCGCUGGAAGAGGGGGUCGCGGCUGAUUAGCUAGUUGGCGGGGUAACGGCCCACCAAGGCGAAGAUCGGUAGCCGGCCUGAGAGGGCGCACGGCCACACUGGAACUGAAACACGGUCCAGACUCCUACGGGAGGCAGCAGUGGGGAAUUUUGCGCAAUGGGGGAAACCCUGACGCAGCAACGCCGCGUGGAGGAUGAAGCCCCUUGGGGCGUAAACUCCUUUCGACCAAGACGAUAAUGACGGUACUGGUGGAAGAAGCACCGGCUAACUCUGUG